rnacentral:rRNA from 1 species
GACGAACGCUGGCGGCGUGCUUAACACAUGCAAGUCGAACGGAAAGGCCCUGCUUUUGUGGGGUGCUCGAGCGGCGAACGGGUGAGUAACACGUGAGUAACCUGCCCUUGACUUUGGGAUAACUUCAGGAAACUGGGGCUAAUACCGGAUAGGAGCUCCUGCUGCAUGGUGGGGGUUGGAAAGUUUCGGCGGUUGGGGAUGGACUCGCGGCUUAUCAGCUUGUUGGUGGGGUAGUGGCUUACCAAGGCUUUGACGGGUAGCCGGCCUGAGAGGGUGACCGGCCACAUUGGGACUGAGAUACGGCCCAGACUCCUACGGGAGGCAGCAGUGGGGAAUAUUGCACAAUGGGCGGAAGCCUGAUGCAGCAACGCCGCGUGCGGGAUGACGGCCUUCGGGUUGUAAACCGCUUUCGCCUGUGACGAAGCGUGAGUGACGGUAAUGGGUAAAGAAGCACCGGCUAACUACGUG